AUUAGAGUUUGAUCCUGGCUCAGAUUGAACGCUGGCGGCAGGCCUAACACAUGCAAGUCGAGCGGCAGCACGGGUACUUGUACCUGGUGGCGAGCGGCGGACGGGUGAGUAAUGCCUAGGAAUCUGCCUGGUAGUGGGGGAUAACGCUCGGAAACGGACGCUAAUACCGCAUACGUCCUACGGGAGAAAGCAGGGGACCUUCGGGCCUUGCGCUAUCAGAUGAGCCUAGGUCGGAUUAGCUAGUUGGUGAGGUAAUGGCUCACCAAGGCGACGAUCCGUAACUGGUCUGAGAGGAUGAUCAGUCACACUGGAACUGAGACACGGUCCAGACUCCUACGGGAGGCAGCAGUGGGGAAUAUUGGACAAUGGGCGAAAGCCUGAUCCAGCCAUGCCGCGUGUGUGAAGAAGGUCUUCGGAUUGUAAAGCACUUUAAGUUGGGAGGAAGGGCAGUAAAUUAAUACUUUGCUGUUUUGACGUUACCGACAGAAUAAGCACCGGCUAACUCUGUGCCAGCAGCCGCGGUAAUACAGAGGGUGCAAGCGUUAAUCGGAAUUACUGGGCGUAAAGCGCGCGUAGGUGGUUUGUUAAGUUGGAUGUGAAAGCCCCGGGCUCAACCUGGGAACUGCAUUCAAAACUGACGAGCUAGAGUAUGGUAGAGGGUGGUGGAAUUUCCUGUGUAGCGGUGAAAUGCGUAGAUAUAGGAAGGAACACCAGUGGCGAAGGCGACCACCUGGACUGAUACUGACGCUGAGGAGCGAAAGCGUGGGGAGCAAACUGGAUUAGAUACCCCGGUAGUCCACGCCGUAAACGAUGUCGACUUGGAGGUUGUGCCCUUGAGGCGUGGCUUCCGGAGCUAACGCGUUAAGUCGACCGCCUGGGGAGUACGGCCGCAAGGUUAAAACUCAAAUGAAUUGACGGGGGCCCGCACAAGCGGUGGAGCAUGUGGUUUAAUUCGAUGCAACGCGAAGAACCUUACCUGGUCUUGACAUCCACGGAAGUUUUCAGAGAUGAGAAUGUGCCUUCGGGAACCGUGAGACAGGUGCUGCAUGGCUGUCGUCAGCUCGUGUUGUGAAAUGUUGGGUUAAGUCCCGCAACGAGCGCAACCCUUAUCCUUUGUUGCCAGCGGUCCGGCCGGGAACUCAAAGGAGACUGCCAGUGAUAAACCGGAGGAAGGUGGGGAUGACGUCAAGUCAUCAUGGCCCUUAUGGGCAGGGCUACACACGUGCUACAAUGGUCGGUACAGAGGGUUGCCAAGCCGCGAGGUGGAGCUAAUCCCAGAAAGCCGGUCGUAGUCCGGAUCGGAGUCUGCAACUCGACUCCGUGAAGUCGGAAUCGCUAGUAAUCGCGAAUCAGCAUGUCGCGGUGAAUACGUUCCCGGGCCUUGUACACCCCGCCCGUCACACCAUGGGAGUGGGCGGCACCAGAAGUAGGUUGUCUAACCUUCGGGAGGACGCUUACCACGGUGUGGUUCAUGACUGGGGUGAAGCCGUAACAAGGUAGCCGAUC
rnacentral:rRNA from 1 species